rnacentral:snRNA from 1 species
AGCCAGUGGGUCCAGGGCGAGGCUUUGCCAUUGCACAUCGGCUUAGCUGACCUUUGCGAUUACCCCAAAUGUGGGUAACUCGGUCGUAUAAUUUCUGGUAGUGGGGACUGCGUUCGCGCUAUCCCCGU